ACCUAAUAUCCAACGUUUCAACAGACAAGCUGUCUUCAUCAGGGUAUAAUGACAAACACCGCAGGGUGACUAGUUUACAGUAUAUAGUGUCAAAGGACACACACAGGUGUCUGUAAUCAUGGCCUGAGGUGGCCUGAUAUCAUUGGUUAAUUCUCUGAUAGAUAAAAAAAAAAAAACAUACCAUGAACGGAUAGCAUACGAUCAUAGAUACAAUUUGGCUACAGAGGCCAACAGACAUUUACAAACUGCAAUAUCACAAUAAUCACAAGAAUGAUUUCAGAUCAAAGUCUGCAUUGAGGCCGAAGUGAGCAAGGGUCUUCAAAUUAAAGAUCCAGGCAGCCUCUCAUUUUAACAAUAAAUUGUUGAGGUCACCCCCUCUCCUAGGGAGGGUGACAUGUUCGAUGCUGAUAUAACUUAGGUACAAAAUCGAGUAGGCCGCAACUGGAUAAGUUGAUUUUUUGCACCUAAUGAUGCUACGAUGCUUCGAGAUUAAUACUUUUAAUUUAUGCUUUGUUUUACCCACAUCAUUUUUUAUCACAAGGACAAGUUAUUAGAUAAAUAACUACCUUAGUGGAGCACGUGAUAACACCUUUAAUUGGGAUCUGUUUCCCUGUUUGGCAGUGUUUGAAGGAUCUACAUUUAUAAGUGCCAUUGCAUUGAGCACAUCCAUUACACUCGUAGUUUCCAUCCAGUAGGAGUGUAAAUAGACGUUGGGCAGGGAUCAGAGUUUAUCAAUUGAUCUCUGAGAUUUCUGUCCCGUGAGAAAUAUGACCAAGGAAGGGUCCCGAUUAGAAUGUGCCAAUGUUUGUGAACGAUUCCCUUAAUUUGUUCAGAGCACUUUGAAUAGCGAGUAGUUAGAACACAAGAAUGCUUCUUUUUGUGAGACUGUCCUUGAAAAAGAUAAUGUCUCGGUUUGCUUUGAAUUUUCUCAAUGGCAGUAUUAAUCUUAAUUGUUGUACCCCUCUCUUAUACCCCGAUGAAGACAGCUUGUCUGUCGAAACGUUGGAUAUUAGGUUAUUAAAUUAUUGCAUCUGAGCUCCUAGAGUGUGCGGCUCUCCUUUAACUUUUCAAGGUUGAUAGUGUAACCAUAAUGGCAACCUGGUUUAUCUUUGUUUUCCUCCUCCUGUUCAUUCUUCACCUCUUUCACUCCCUCUGCUCUUACUAUUCCCUAUCCGGUCCUUGACCUCUACCCCAGUUUCACCUCUUUUUUUAUCCUCCUUCCUCAGCACUAUCUGUCUCUCUCUAUCUACCUACUGAAGAAGCCCCUCUCUCGCCGUCACUUGUUUACUCUCUGUUCAUCUCCAUUCCUCCCUCUAUCCUAUCAGGACAUCAAAUAAACACUUGGAGGGAGCUGUUUACCCUGAGAGCAGUUAAAACAGAGAUGAUGAAUUAGCAGUGGAACGAGGGUUGAUGAUGAAUCCACCUUCCCUCUGCGAUCGGCCAUGUUUGUUUUCAUUUGACCACAGUGUGUUUGUUAUCACCUUCCCACGAAGACCCAUUCAACAACCUCCCGUGAAAGAGUGCCUUUCGCCCCUGCACAUCAGACCCUUUAACUAACUUAACUCUGAAGUAAAGCCUCCAAAACUCUAAAAUAAUGGAACUAUUCUCAUCAUAAUAAAGUAUUGUGUAAAGCCAAGAUUAAAAUCUUUAUUGAUGAAUGUUUCACAACUCUUAAGUGUAAGGUUUGGUUGUCAUGUCUAUUAAAACAUGUGGGAUGUCUUUCUAGGCAGUUUUACAUAGGCUUUGCGUCAGGUUAUUUCUAGCUAACUGUUUCCAUUCUUGUUGUAAGACUGAGCUCACUGACCCUUUCUCAAGUGCUUUUGUAUUCAAAUGAGAGUUGGUCAUUUGUAACACAUGUUCUUCCACUAUGUCGCUCUCUGUCCUUGAGUCCAAGUUUAAAGGAAGCCUGGAUGAAAGUGUCCCUCUGAAAGAAAUAUUGGGUUCUCCCUUGAGGCAAAUGACGAGGUUGUCCACAGAGAGAGGAAUGUUCGAUAUAACACUGACAUGUGACUUGGAAGGCUCCAGAAGAAAUUCACUGGGUGCCUCCACUGCAGAAAAAAAGCAACAACAGCAAUGUCUUAUUUGUGUUAUUUCUAUAAUUUCAGACCCCGGGGUUAAACAGUUUCUGGCUCCACAGUUUCGACCACUCUUGUUUAUUUUCUGACCAUGAAACUAACCACAGAAUAACAGUGGAAGCGGACUCGUAGGAACAGCACUGUUUGGUCUAGCUCGAUUUUCCCCACUCGUUUCACAGAUUCUCAUGCGUGCGAUGCCUUUGAUGGAGCCUCUAUUCCUCUGAACAGAACAUUGGCCAUGUGAUAAUCUGUUUCUGAUGUAAAUAACGAUUAGUUAUACUGGCUGCAUGCUCUCUUCAGGGGACUGACUACUGCCUUGGCUAGUAGAGUUGUCUCCAGGAGUAGGCCUAAUCUACACGUAACAUCAUGUCAGAUAAGAUCUAUUCAUUGUUGUCCUAAAUGUAUUUUGAAACCUCUAGACUAGCACUGUAAAACUCAAAUGGGUCACUAUAUUGAUUCACUGCAUCAUGGAUUCCAUACUCCUUUGGUGACUGUUGCAUUGAUCUGAUGACAUCCAUCCUGUUCUGAUUUCUGAUCGGUUAUUGAUGAGCAACAGAAAGCAGAUGUAAAAAUGGGGAUCAGUUAUAGGAUGAUUUAGUAUGGGGAGCCGUGGACAAAAGUGAUCGUCCCAUUGGACAUGUCAGGGUUCCUUAGAUGUGGCUCUGGCUUCAAUUACACACAGCGAUUUGAUAUUCCCUGAAUAAAGGCAGGCCAGAGAUCCAUGCCAGGAGAGAUUCCUGAUCGUCUGCUUUAGUGGAUGUCUUGGAAAGCUAUGAAGAGGUUAUGGGUAAUUUCAGACCAAUAAACGCUUUUAGGCUGCUAUGGAUUUGGAAUAUGCUCUUGAAAGCUACUAAGACAUUUCUUAGAAUUGUGUGUGAAAACAAAACCAAUAUAACUGGAGAGACACGCACAUGCGAUAGGCUGGGUUUGAACCCGGGUCGACUGCACACCAAAAUACUUGGUUGUUAGCCCAAGCGCCAUUGUGGUUCACUGAACCAACUCUCUUACACUUCACCUUAGCUUUAAAAUGUUCCUCUGCUCAUUGCACACUACAACACUGUGUUAGCCUGCUAACCUAAAACCUUGGUCUAUAGGCAUUAUCUCUGGGAGCUAAUGCAAGUCAGGUCUCAAACAAAAUUGGUUCACCGGACCACCUUGGCUACAGUAGCACAGACUUCCUCGAUAUCUCUAUGAAGUUAUCUGGAAGGAGAGAGAAUUAUGAAAAAAUCCCUCCUAAGGCUAAGGAUAUCCUCUGGAAUUCCUCUGCCUGUUUGAGGCUUUGCACAACGUGAUGCUGCUCUCUCAUAUCAAGUUAUUCUGUUGACGAGUUUGAGGACAUUUCAUAAUAAUUCACUGAACUCAAUAAUACUAAAUGUACACAAAGAAUCCUUGCCCAGAAAACCAUGGUGUUCAUCUAUCAGUGGUGCGACCACAAUCAUUUCAACACUCAAUUACAUGAACUAACCCUGAAAAUGACAGCAAGUGUUAUUAAUGUUGAUGUGUGAAAUCCUGUGUAAACUGUCUGUAUAUGCAAAACCAAUAAUUCUGCCUUUAUUAAAAAGGGUUUAAUCUAUUCAGUACUGAUAAUAAAACCUUGUUCUAUGCCUUACGUGUAACCACAUUGUUAUCAUCACCACAAUGUAGCUUUAUGUUGUCCAUAAUGACUUAACUAGUAACUAGCUCAUGGGUUGGAGUGCCACAUGUUUCUAUAAUGAUCCAUUACUGCUCUCCUUGCUUUUACAUAGCCUACUACUUCACUUCCUGAUGUUGUCCUGUUGAGUGGCUUGUUAUCUACAGUAUGCCUAUAUUCUGACUAUAUUUUCUUUUUAUAGCAAAAACUGAUCUGGAGGCACAAGAAACACAACUAGAGAACACUCAUGAGAUGUAAGAAUAAACCUGAUAUGAUUUUCUUUUUAAAGAUGUUCGAGCUGCAGUAUGAUAACAUUGGCUCAAAGGAUAAUGUUGUGUCAGAACAAUUUUCAAUACAGCGAGCUGAGUUCACUCACUUCUAUUCUCUACUACUGCAUGCCAGUACGUACAGGUCCUGUGUCGAUGUUUAGAUCCCGAGGCUACAUGGAACCUCUACCUCUAGAUGGCCUUGACUGCGGGUCCUAUGAUAGACUGAAGGCCUCCAGUGUCUGUGUUGUUUACCUAAGCAAAGCCAGAGUAGACAGCGUUGGCUCCGGGCUUCUGUUAACACUAGGCAGGAAAGUGUUCCCUCCAAACUCCAAACAAAGGGUCCCCAACCUGUCCAGAGCAUUGAUCAAGCGCAACGCCAGGGCAUUUGUCACUUUCACAUGUGCUCUCUCUUCCUCUAUUUAUCUUUCUCUCCUUUCUGUCUCUCUCUCUUUUUCUCCCUUUCUUUAUGUGUUUGUCCCUCUUGAGACUUGAGCACAUCAAGAUUCAUUUCCUUUUAAGGGUUUAUAACCUGUACGCCUAGAAUUGUAUCUGUGGAGGGAAAAUAUUUAUGUUAUCGACUUAGGAAAGAAUGCCAUUGUGGCAGCUAAUACAUUCUAAUAUUUGCUGUGUUUUAUUACGAAAUGGCCAGUCGCCUCUAUUUAGUAUACUUCCAUAUCAAGUUUAAUGCAUGAAAUGGUCUUAAGAUUAACUUCCACAUUUCGCAUAAUUAUUAUAAGCAUACAGGUUUCACAAUGACUUAGUCUUUCUGUAAUCUAUUGUUGUAAUUUUGGUAUUUUAGGUUUGUUUUCAUGUUUUUGUUCUAUCUAUCCUCAGUUUCUUGUAGUUUAGCUUGUUCUUUUCAGUCAAGGCUAAGUCAGGUGAGAAGGAAGUGUCUCCCAACACGCUGUUCUCGGUGUGGCAUGAGUUCUCCACUAAUUUCAAAGACCUUUGGAAGAAGGAAAACAAACGGAUGUUACAGGAACCACUGAAAAUGGCAGAGGUCUUCAAUCAAGCCAGAGAGAAGGCCUCGUACAGCAUCAAACCCAAACAGUCUUCUGGAAUAAAAAGCCAAACUGGGUCAGUAGAUCUGAGCCAAUGGACUGCUCUUAUCCAGGAUAAGUUUGCACAAGUGAGAUCAACACAAGCUUUUUAGCUAUUGUAUUGUGUUUAAAAAUAUAUUUACUGUGUUAUUUUCUUUUUUAAUUGUUUCUUUCGGUCACCUAACUGGGUAUAUGUAUGCCUGACAGGUUGUCACCUUGUUGGAAAGUGUGAUAUUAACACAGUACCACACUUUGCCGUAAUCUGUCAAUGAUGCAUUUCCCCCAGUUCCAAACAGCGCAUUCUGCUGUCCAAAGUAAGAAUGUAGAUUUAAUUAAAGAGCUAAUAAUUUUUGGACAGGUGCCAUUGUAAAGAGAAAUACAUUGUUUUACAGUGAGACAUGUGUUGUGGUAUCAGCCUGUCCCCUGUAGCUAUAGAUAAGACCAGUUAAGACA
ensembl:lncRNA